GCAGAGGGCCGGAUGGCCGCGGCUCCGGAUCUGGUCCGGGGCCGAGGAAAGUCCGGACUCCACAAGGCAACGGUGCCGGGUAACGCCCGGCCGGGGAAACCCGAGGGAAAGCGCCACAGAGAACAAACCGCUUCCGGCGUGCCGGAAGCAAGGGUGAAAAGGUGGGGUAAGAGCCCACCGCGGACCUGGCAACAGGGACGGCAUGGCAAGCCCCACCGGGAGCAAUGCCGAAUAGGAAUGCCGCGCGGGAAUGAUCCCUUCGGGGAUAUCGCCGCAGGGCCGCCUUGGCCCCGGGCGUUCGGGUUGGCAGCUAGAGGAAAUCCGGCAACGGGUUUCCGAGAGGAAUGGUCAUCCAGGGCCGGAUCACGAUCCGGCCUGGACAGAAUCCGGCUUACAGGCCCUCUGCGCAG
rnacentral:RNase_P_RNA from 1 species